rnacentral:rRNA from 1 species
AUGCGUCAAUGCGUCAAGGCCACCUUGGAAAUCGCCAAGUACACCGCCGACAAGAUCACACGGAUGCUCGAACGAGUGCUAAACAAAACGCAAAGUACCACGACGACAAUCGGCUUGUACCCCUACACCGCAUCGGAACGCCGAGUUCCUCUUCGGAAGUGUGUACGACUAUCAGGGCCAAAAAACCCGUACACCAUUAUCGUCUCCAAAGAACCGUGUAACGGAACCGUCAAGUUCGACUACGACUCGUGUACGGCUAUGCGGGAUUCCUUGGACACCAAGCUCAACGAUGCAUCAAGUUCCUCGCCGUGA